rnacentral:rRNA from 1 species
UACGUAGGCAGCGAGCGUUGUUCGGAGUUACUGGGCGUAAAGAGUGCGUAGGCGGUUUUCUAAGUUUGGUGUGAAAUCUCCCGGCUUAACUGGGAGGGUGCGCCGAAGACUGGAAGGCUUGAGUAUGGGAGAGGUAAGCGGAAUUCCUGGUGUAGCGGUGAAAUGCGUAGAUAUCAGGAGGAACACCUGCGGUGUAGACGGCUUACUGGACCAUAACUGACGCUGAGGCACGAAAGCGUGGGGAUCAAACAGG